GACGAACGCUGGCGGCGUGCUUAACACAUGCAAGUCGAGCGGUAAGGCCCUUUCGGGGGUACACGAGCGGCGAACGGGUGAGUAACACGUGGGUAACCUGCCCUCAGCUCUGGGAUAAGCCCGGGAAACUGGGUCUAAUACCGGAUAUGACCUCGUAUCGCAUGGUGCGGGGUGAAAGUGUUCAGUGGCUGAGGAUGGGCCCGCGGCCUAUCAGCUUGUUGGUGGGGUAGUGGCCUACCAAGGCGACGACGGGUAGCCGGCCUGAGAGGGCGACCGGCCACACUGGGACUGAGACACGGCCCAGACUCCUACGGGAGGCAGCAGUGGGAAUCUUGCGCAAUGGGCGAAAGCCUGACGCAGCGACGCCGCGUGA
rnacentral:rRNA from 1 species